rnacentral:rRNA from 1 species
AUUGAACGCUGGCGGCAUGCCUUACACAUGCAAGUCGAACGGUAACGGGCCUUCGGGUGCCGACGAGUGGCGAACGGGUGAGUAAUACAUCGGAACGUGCCCGAUCGUGGGGGAUAACGAGGCGAAAGCUUUGCUAAUACCGCAUACGAUCUACGGAUGAAAGCAGGGGACCGCAAGGCCUUGCGCGGGCGGAGCGGCCGAUGGCCGAUUAGGUAGUUGGUGGGAUAAAAGCUUACCAAGCCGACGAUCUGUAGCUGGUCUGAGAGGAUGAUCAGCCACACUGGGACUGAGACACGGCCCAGACUCCUACGGGAGGCAGCAGUGGGGAAUUUUGGACAAUGGGCGCAAGCCUGAUCCAGCCAUGCCGCGUGCAGGAUGAAGGCCUUCGGGUUGUAAACUGCUUUUGUACGGAACGAAAAGCCUUCUUUUAAUACAGGAGGGUCAUGACGGUACCGGAAGAAUAAGCACCGGCUAACUACGUG